rnacentral:rRNA from 1 species
UACGGGGGGAGCAAGCGUUGUUCGGAUUUACUGGGCGUAAAGGGCGCGUAGGCGGCCACCGCAAGUCGAUUGUGAAAUCUCCGGGCUUAACUCGGAAAGGUCAACCGAUACUGCAGGGCUAGAGUGCAGAAGGGGCAACUGGAAUUCUCGGUGUAGCGGUGAAAUGCGCAGAUAUCAGGAGGAACACCGAUGGCGAAGGCAGGUCUCUGGGCCGAUACUGACGCUCAUGCACGAAAGCGUGGGGAGCAAACAGG